GGCAGCGUUGGAGCGGGACUUGGCGGCGCUGUAUUCGCCGAUGGGGCGGCCUUCGAUCCCGCCGGAAAAGCUGCUGC
rnacentral:tRNA from 2 species